UGCCAGCAGCCGCGGUAAUACGGAGGGGGUUAGCGUUGUUCGGAAUCACUGGGCGUAAAGCGCACGUAGGCGGAUUAGAAAGUUAGAGGUGAAAGCCCAUCGCUCAACGAUGGAACUGCCUUUGAUACUGGUUGACUUGAGUUAUACGGAAGUAGAUAGAAUAAGUAGUGUAGCGGUGAAAUGCAUAGAUAUUACUUAGAAUACCGAUUGCGAAAGCAGUCUACUACGUAUAUACUGACGCUGAGGGACGAAAGCGUGGGGAGCGAACAGGAUUAGAUA
rnacentral:rRNA from 1 species